GAGAGAGGAAGCUCAGCUCUGCACAGAGUGUGGGGGGAAUGAGGCAUCCAGGCAGCUACAGCACUCCGGUGGGUGUCCCUGGAAAACCUGUGGGAGUCAUGUUGGCCCCACUAACUGCACAUCUAUUACAUCACGGCGUGCUGAGCUGUAACCACAUCUGGAAAGCUACGGCGGUAUGACACGUUUCACCUGAUCGCAAGAUUCUUCACGCUACGGGGGACAUGACGUAUUUAAUUAAAUAUAAAGGUUUGCAUUAGAAAUGUCCAUAAAGGUGAAGACAAGCCUGCAGUCCACAAUCUACAAGGGGCAGCUGCUCUGCUCGCCACCCUGGGACUCCCUCAAGACGCUCUAAAACACCAGGACCCUGUGCAGCUGCUCUG